AUGUCUCUCUCUCCCGGGCGCGUAUUGCCGAAAAGAAGGUUUUGCUUCAGUUGUGCUACUCUAGACCUGCGGAAGACAGGCUCAGAUCCAAUAUCGGUAGCGGAAGAAUUAGACUUGUCUAAGCCUGAGGCCUGGACCAUAAAGUCUAAAAUUAAGUAUAGGCCGGGGGCAGCAGCAGAAGAUUGGACUGGAACCCGAGAAGGACAAAAACUAGAUAUCUUUUGUGGAAGUUACUUACGAUCGGGCUUCACUAAUCUGUAG